CAGAAUUUGGUGGCGCCAUUCAUCAGCGACCAGUUCAAGAUUUGGCAUUUGCUGUUGCCCGUUUCAUACAGAAGGGUGGCUCAUAUGUUAACUACUAUAUGUACCAUGGAGGAACCAAUUUUGGACGCUCUGCUGGAGGCCCAUUCAUUACCACCAGCUAUGACUAUGAUGCCCCAAUAGAUGAAUAUGGUUUGAUCAGGGAACCUAAAUAUGGCCAUCUGAAAGAGCUUCACAGAGCUAUCAAGUUAUGUGAACGUGCU
rnacentral:misc_RNA from 1 species